rnacentral:rRNA from 1 species
UACGUAGGGUGCGAGCGUUAAUCGGAAUUACUGGGCGUAAAGGGUGCGCAGGCGGUCUCGUAAGCUGGGUGUGAAAGCCCCGGGCUUAACCUGGGAAUGGCAUUCAGGACUGCGAGGCUUUGAGUGUGGCAGAGGGAGGUGGAAUUCCACGUGUAGCAGUGAAAUGCGUAGAGAUGUGGAGGAACACCGAUUGCGAAGGCAGCCUCCUGGGCCAGCACUGACGCUCAUGCACGAAAGCGUGGGGAGCAAACAGG